CAUGCGCGAAAGCGUGAUAAGGGAACUCUGAGUGGCAGCCGGCUUUUGCCGACUGUCUUUUGGCGAACCUAAACCGUUCGCAGAAUAAGUUCUGGGUAAGACCAGUGCCAGCCGCCAUGGGCAUAUGCAUAUUGCCCACGGUACGCGGUAAUACUGGCAGAACGAGUGGUGCCCACGAAUAUUGGGUCUAAAGAGACCGUAGCUGGCCCGUUAAGUCCACUGUGAAAUCUUGGGGCUCAACCUCAAGGCGUGCAGUGGAUACUGGCGGGCUCGAGAGCGGGGGAGGUCAGGGGUACUUACGGGGUAUGAGUAAAAUCAGUUGAUCCUGUAAGGACCACCAGUGGCGAAGGCGCCUGACCAAAACGCGUCUGACAGUGAGGGUCGAAGGCUAGGAGAACGAAUCGGAUUAGAUACCCGAGUAGCCCUAGCAGUAAAUUAUGCAGACUGUGGUGUUGCUAUGGCUUCGGGCCAUGGCAGUGCUGUAGCGUAGGUGUUAAGUCUGCCACCUGGGGAGUACGGCCGCAAGGUUGAAACUUAAAGGAAUUGCGGGGGGGAACAC
rnacentral:rRNA from 1 species